ACGAACGCUGGCGGCGUGCUUAACACAUGCAAGUCGAACGGAAAGGCCCUGCUUUUGUGGGGUGCUCGAGUGGCGAACGGGUGAGUAACACGUGAGUAACCUGCCCUUGACUUUGGGAUAACUUCAGGAAACUGGGGCUAAUACCGGAUAGGAGCUCCUGCUGCAUGGUGGGGGUUGGAAAGUUUCGGCGGUUGGGGAUGGACUCGCGGCUUAUCAGCUUGUUGGUGGGGUAGUGGCUUACCAAGGCUUUGACGGGUAGCCGGCCUGAGAGGGUGACCGGCCACAUUGGGACUGAGAUACGGCCCAGACUCCUACGGGAGGCAGCAGUGGGGUAUAUUGCACAAUGGGCGGAAGCCUGAUGCAGCAACGCCGCGUGCGGGAUGACGGCCUUCGGGUUGUAAACCGCUUUCGCCUGUGACGAAGCGUGAGUGACGGUAAUGGGUAAAGAAGCACCGGCUAACUACAUG
rnacentral:rRNA from 1 species